UACGUAGUAUGCAAGCGUUGUCCGGAAUUAUUGGGCGUAAAGAGCGCGCAGGCGGUAUGACAAGUCAGAUGUGAAAGAGGCCGGCUUAACCGGCAAGGGUCAUUUGAAACUGUCAGACUAGAGUGCAGCAGAGGAUAGUGGAAUUCCCGGUGUAGUGGUGAAAUGCGUAGAUAUCGGGAGGAACACCAGUGGCGAAGGCGACUAUCUGGGCUGCAACUGACGCUGAGGCGCGAAGGCUAGGGUAGCAAACAGG
rnacentral:rRNA from 1 species